GACAGAGGUGCCGAGCGUUAGGCGGAAUCACUGGGCUUAAAGCGUGUGUAGGCGGGCGGGCAAGUACCUUGUGAAAUCCCACGGCUCAACCGUGGAACGGCUGGGUAUACUGCCUGUCUUGAGCCAACUAGGGGCGUGUGGAACUGGUGGUGGAGCGGUGAAAUGCGUAGAUAUCACUAGGAACGCCGGUGGCGAAAGCGACACGCUGGACCUCUACUGACGCUGAGGCGCGAAAGCCAGGGGAGCAAACGGG
rnacentral:rRNA from 1 species